rnacentral:lncRNA from 1 species
AAACAGCCUCUCUACCCCAGGGUAGGGGUAAGGCUGCGUACACACUACCCUCCCCAGACACCACUGAGUGGUAUUGUACUGGGUCGUACUUUUUAGGUGCAUUGCGUGAUAAAAAAGUGGCAAAAAUAGAAAAGAAAAAGAAGAAAAUUUACUUGUUAGGAUAUUAGAGUUUACCAAUAUGCUACGUUGCUUGAAAGCCUUCAAUCAAUGAUGAGAAAAAUCAAGACUAAAAGCCUAUUUAUAUAGAGGUACUUUGGUGGUUGUUUAUCUCCUAAACAAAGUCAAAUUAUACUUGUCGUCCUAAAAAUAUAAAGAGGAUGAAAUGGGCCUUAAUUAAGGAUUUAAUCCAGAAGUAAGACAAUAAAAUUUUGCUUUAAUAUAUUGGCUCUCCAUGGAUGCAGGAGGCAUACAUAAACAAAGCAAUUACUUCAAGCCUAGCACCCAAGGGUGAUUUAGCGGCAAUGUAGUAGGAGAAUCACGAGGUCUCAGGUUCAAAUCCCAUACAGGCAAAAAAAAAAACUACUCCCUCAGUUUCAAUUUAUGUGAACCCAUUUGAUUGGGCACGGAGUUUAAGAAAAGAGAGAAGACUUUUGAACUUGUGGUGUAAAAUGAGNNNNNNNNNNNNNNNNNNNNNNNNNNNNNNNNNNNNNNNNNNNNNNNNNNNNNNNNNNNNNNNNNNNNNNNNNNNNNNNNNNNNNNNNNNNNNNNNNNNNNNNNNNNNNNNNNNAUAAAUUGUUUCCAAAUAAGGAAAGGGGUCAUUCUUUUUGGCACGGACCAAAAAGGAAAUAGGUUCACGUAAAUUGAAAGGAGUAGCUAAUUUCUUCCUAUUUACCUAAUCCUGGGUAGAGCGUCACUUGAUACCUCUACUGGUGGGAGGUAGCAAAUACCCACUAUAAUAGUUGAGGUGCAUGCAAGUUGGCCCGAACAACACUAUCAGGAAAAAAAAAUUACUUCAAGCCUGAUCUUUCAGGAUCGACAGGUCUACACCUUGACAAAAUUUUGAGGUAUGAUACAUUUGCAGGCAUUUAAAUUUUAUUAGACUCAAAAUCAUAAAAUAAUUUGGACUAUACUAUAAAUUCAAGACAUAUUAGUCCAAGUAAAUAUUGUGAGCUAAUAAAUUGGAUGUUUAUUCAGGUCCAAAUAUACAUGAAUCUAACUAAGAAGUUCAAUUAUUUAGGCUGGUCCAUUUAUUUAGACUUCAAAUGACGAGUCUACUUUGUUAGCCAUAAUGUUCUCUUAGUAUAGAGGCCUAAAUUAGUGCCAUCUGACAAAUUACGUGGCAUGCCAAGUCAAAUCAAAAGGCUAACAAAAGUAUGCCACAUGCUAAUUGACAUGUUUUGGAAUAUCAGAUGUGACCUUGUCACCGCUUCAAUCUAAUUGAUCGGUGAUUCAAACAAAAACAAAAAAAUAUAUCUUUUUCACUACUCCUCAGGUGAAAAGAGCAUGAUUUUAAGAUCUAAUAUCUAACCUCAAGUUUACGAUUAAGUUUCAAUCCCGUGAGUUAACAGUUGGAAAAAAGAAUAAGAAGAUAAUUUCUCUUCAAAUUGAAGAAAUUCUAGAGAUUGUAAUAUUUGGAAUACUACAUUUGCUACGCAAUUUCUAGUCUUGAUUAUUUAAGGCACGAAAUUUGUUGUUACACAAACUUCUCUUGCAGGCUUCAAUGGCCAAAAAGCAUGCACCCAAUUACAAGCGUUGAGUACGUUGGUCCAAAGCCAGAGGAGACAUUAAAAAAUUCAAAACUGUGCUACAAUGCAAAACUGAAUAGAACAGUAUCAAGCUGGGAUAUCUCUCAUACCUUAGGAGGUUUAAAUGGAUAAUCAGGAGGAAAAUGGAUAGUGACUAAAAAUACACCCCCGGUGUAGGGGCUAUCUGGAGGGCCCAUUAUUGUAGCUUGCCAGUGAAACAUGUCCUCUCCAACGGGGCCUGUAAACAUGGCAUAGGAAGUUAAAAAACUUGAAGUCAUGAAUGACUGUUAUUCCUUUUAUAUAGGAUACAAGAACAUGUGCAUAGCAUAGCUAAUACCCUACCACUAAAAUUGAAAGAAACUAGAGUCUCCUGUAUUUUAAUUUAAUAUUUCCAUCAAGCAAACGUGGAAGUUGAAACCAAUUGAAAACUAGAAUCACAUAUCAGGAAAUUAGAUGAAAGUACAACAAGUGUAACGGACUUAAAUCAUAAUAUAGGCAAAAUAACAUCUGUAGAAUGUCUUGACAUGGACUAUCAAUUAUCACAAGGCUUAGAUUCAAAUAAAAAGAUCCGAAAAGCAACUUCAAAGGUAACUGACAUGACAAUAUAGACACCAAUACUAGGAAACUUGGAGGAAUUAACAGAGUACAUGACGAAGUAAUUAUUCUAGUCAAAUACUUUAAAAAGAAUUAAUCUAGUCAUUGCAUAAGCUCAGCCAAGAGAAACCAUUAGACAAAACUCUCGCGUCUAAGCCUUUUUGUGCCACAAUUUCUCACUUAUUAUUUUAGUUUGAAAUAAUUAUUAAAAUAAAAAUCAAUGAGAAGCCUAUUCAUGGACAUUAAAUAAAACCACUAAAGAAAAGCUUUCACAUCUCCAUGAGAAUCAGGUAGAGCACUCUGCCAACAUAUAUUUGGGCUGCACAAGAUAGAAGAGAUAAUGUACUAUAAAUUUUGAAAAGGUAAAGGAACCAGAUACCAUAAAGAGUGAAAUCGAGAUGUGGCCUUAGACCUGUGGAAGGAGAAUUGCUCUUUUGGAGCUCAAAAGUAACAGACUGAAGCAAGAGGGAUUAUUCAACCAAGUUUACAAUUUACAAAACCCGACCAGUAACCUCACUAUACUACAUUGCCACAAAGACACCAAAAUACAGACAAGUGAUCCUCUAAAUAAAGCUACAAAACUGACAAACUCAUACUUCAGUAAUAGCAGACCCCAUGAAAAGCUGAUCACAACAAGAAUACAACCUUUGACACUAAAACCAAAAACACUAAUUCACAACUUAGCGUGUGUUAUGUAUAUAUAUAUAUAUAUUUAUCUAACUUGAUCCAAUAAUUCAAAUUUUCAUUUAACUGUUAAUGAAGCUUAGAAGUUAAAAUCUCGUCAGUUAAGUUAAGCCUCAAAUCUGGAUAAUGGAACAUACGCAGAACAAAGGUGACAUCCAGUGCUGCAACAACAAUAGGGGUAUCAAAUUAAUAAGUCAUACCAUGAAGGUCUGGGAGUGGGUGAUCGAGGCGAGAGUGAGGGAGAUGANNNNNNNNNNNNNNNNNNNNNNNNNNNNNNNNNNNNNNNNNNNNNNNNNNNNNNNNNNNNNNNNNNNNNNNNNNNNNNNNNNNNNNNNNNNNNNNNNNUAUAUAUAUAUAUAUAUAUAUAUAUAUAUAUAUAUAUAUAAGAAAGUGAUUUUUUAUCAGUAAACAUGAGAUUGUAUUGAUAAAAUGAAGCCAUACAGUAUAAGAAAGUGAUUUUCAUCUGCAUCAAUUAAAGGUGUACAGCCAAAAAGCUUGGAGAUUAAACCGUGUAGGUUAAAUAUUGAGAAACAAAACACAGAAUGAUGAAGUAUCACACUACCUGGGGAAAAAAAGUACCACAAGAUAAACCAACUUACAAUUCCUUCAAUUUCCUUUUUUUCUUUUUAUAAGUUACAUUCCUUUCUAGUUUAUAGCAUAAACCAAAAACACAAUCUACGCUAGCGUUCGGACAUACAUUUGGUUAAAACUUGAAACAAAUGAGUUUUUGAAGAUAAGAUGAAAAUAAUUUUUGAAAGUUAAAAUUGUGUUUGGACAUGCAUUUUACUUGAAAGAAUUUGAAGUAUUACGAGUAUUUAAAACUUCAAAAAUUAAUAUAGAGUUGUUUUUGGGAUUUGAAGAUUUUGUUUUCAAAACCUGCCAAAAAUGGUUAAAAUCUAUAAACAAACAAAUACUUGAAAAUAAAAUUGACAAAAUACUCCCAAAUUUUAUGGCCAAACAGGAGCUAAAAUGCUAUGUAAACAUGUUGCAUCAAGUACUCAACAGUUUACCCUUGAUAAACUAAACCAAUAUUCCAUAGUAAAAUGUAGGUCCAAGAGCUUAAUCAGGAAUCCGGAAACACACAAAAUUAUUAUCUCAGGAUUAUGAGCUAUUAGUCAAAAGUCAUAACUCAUCUUGUAUGUUCUAGCGUAAUUUUAUGCGAAAAUAAAAUAUAUACACAUACAGAACCGCUCCCUUACCUUAAAAAAUACAUAUAGUGCCACUGCAAUUAGUAUUAGGAAAUAAAUUAAGGCAUAAACUGAUACUGCUUAUGAACUUAUCUUUAGUUUGAUCAGAUGCUUUCUGUAAGAAAGCAUAUGUUAGAUGCUUCAAGGGUUCAGAAAACAGUGCACGAGGUGUCAGUUGGACAUCUUCUUCGAGGUACCGGAGGAGGCCAAUGUUCGGAUAGUAAGGGAGGCCAUCCGCAGGAUGUACCGGCUGCCAGUGUUCAAGGGAGAUACUGAUGAUUAUUGGACUUAUAGCUCAAUACGAGCCUUGUGGUGGCCUAUUCUUGAGAUUAUUUGUGUGCACGAUAGGGAAUAUAUUUGGAUAAAGCCCAGGAUCACACUUAACUCCCAAUCUCUCAAUUGGGAGGCUAAGUGUUGGCUCACCAUUAUCAAUAGUCGAUUGUUUCCCUCCAGCAAUACAAUUGAUGUCAAUCUACUACGGGCGGCUUCUAUUUACUGUUUCAUGGCACACAGGGAUUUUGAUGUGGCCAAGCUUCUCCAUGAUGAGAUGUUCAUUAUAUCACUUGAGUUGCUCAAAGGCUUCUAUUUUCCUUCUCUAAUCACCAGGCUAUGCCGUCUUGCUAGAGUCCCGGAAGACCUUAGAAUUGAUGGGAAGUUAGCACUGAAAACCCCGUUCCUAGCUAGAAAAAUCAAAAUUGGGAUGGAGUCGGUGGGAAAUGUUGAUGAGUCCGAUGAUGAUGAUAAUGAUGCAGAAGCAGCUGCGGUGCCCCCACCUCCAAGAGUCGAGGAGGCAGGCCUAUCACAGCCCGUCAAAGCACCCACAUGACAGCUUUGGAGCAGGAGAUGUCUACGUUGCGUACCUCGGUCACUAAUUUGAAUGCCCGUGUAGACGCGGUGGCUGACUGGCAGGUGAAGUCGAAGAAAAAAUUCUUGGGUUGGCUGAGAGCUGUGGGUCGUGCUUGCAACGUGAACCCAGACACCGUCUCUGAUCAAGAGUGAUCCUUCAGGGAAGUUCCUUUACCUCACUGUUCUUUAAAUUUUUAAGCCAUGAGGACAUGUCUUUAUUUUAAGUGUAGGGUGGGGAUACUUCAUUGUAUGUAUGUAAUUGUAACAAUUGACGGUUUGAUUUUGUUGUGUUUUGUUUGCUUUGAUUAAUUUGGUGUUUUGCGUAAUAGUUCAUUAGGUAAGUUCGAAUAGGUAAGCGAGUUGUCUCUUUACAUGGGGUUCUUGAGGGACUCAGUCGAAAAAAAAAGGAAUAUAGAGACUCUUCUUGAUGACGGAUCCUUUAGACAAUUUUCUUGAGGGAAGUUAGUCUAAAGAAAAUACCAAAAAGAUUAUUUAUUUUAUUUUAGGUAGAGUAGUAACUCCCCCUUAGUUUUUCUUUGGCCACGGUUCUUUUCCAAGGGUUUAGCUUGAACCGGGUAGAGGUAAUUUUUAUUCAUUUUAUUUCUUUUUAGUUUUUAGAUUAGGAUUAAUGGGCUACAUGCUAGAAUCGAAGGAGAAACCCUGAGCGUUGAUACACCUGAACACAAUAGACACUAGAGUGUAAAGCUUAAUCUCAAUGGUUGAACCUUGCUGAAAGUGCCUUAAAAUUGUAUAUUUGCAUCUAGCUUGAACACUCAAAAGAUAAUGUCUUGAUAAAUCAAUCCAGGGUGAGUCAUGUACCAUGCGUGUGUGAGUUUUGCUGCAUUCUAUGAUUUGCAUUUGAUGCCUAGAACUUGUCCGGUGUGUUUGCAAAGCGAAAUAGUAGUUUCACUAGGUUUUAGAAGUGAUAUAGGCAUUUCUUUGUUGAGCCAGACAUAUAAAGUAAAUCCACCUGAAUGCAAUCCAUCUUAGUUAGCCCCGUUGAGCAUAUAAGCCUGAUCCUUUUGCAACCAUAUUGCGAACCUUACCCAAUUGUUUGAAUAGCCUCCUGUUUGAACCCCUUUACCUCCCAUAAGCACUUGAAUGUUAUUGAAAUUAUGCAAAAGCAAAAGUGUGGGGUGGUUUGGUUUUUUAGUAGAACCAUUGAAAUAGAGAAAAGGUGCAAAAUUUUGAAGAAUAAAAGAAGAAGCACCACGAAAAAAAUAUAUUUAAUGAAUAAAUAUAGCGAUUGAUAAGUGGUAGCUUGAUGCAAAUGCACUUAAUGGAUGGGGAUGUUAUAAAUAAAAAGUGGUGCAAUGUUUGGUUGACAUAAGUAUGAUUUUGAAGGUUAAUGUAAUUGUAUUAAAAGUGCUUAAGGAGGUUAGUAACUAUAUCCAAAUAUAUCCUACCCGUCGUGUAGCCUAUAUUACAAACAAGUGAAGUCAUUGAUCUUAGACUGAGAGAGCUCGAUUAGUUGAGUAUUACACUACGGGCAAACCUAUGGUGCAUCUUUAUGGCAUGUGAAUGUUUUUUUGAGAGGUGAGUAAAUUUUGUCUAUCUAAGUUCCUAAUUAUUCUAAAUAUCAUCAUAUGAGGAACUACUCUCUUCUGUGUUGUGAGGGCAUGUGAUUCACAAAGGAAAGGUAAGUCUUGACUCCUGUAUAGAGUGGUUUGAGUAAGUGUGAAUGUUACAUGGUACGAAAGAUUUGACUUUUGAAGUAAAGAUUGUUCAUUACUAGGUGCAAAUGUUCAAGGUGUGAGUCGUUAAGGAAAAAGCUUAGGGAAGAAACUUUGAUGGAGUGUGAUGGAUUGCUCGAGGACUAGCAAUGAUUCAAGUGUGGGUUGUUGAUAUUAAGCUAUAUAGAUGAUGUUUACACCUUAAUAUGACCGUGCUUUAUUAUUGUUUUAUAGGUAAAUUGCUACAAAGUGAUCUAAAUGGUGUUCUUUUAUUUCGCAGGGAAUGUUUUAAGUGAGGAAGCACCACAGAGUGUUUUGGAGGCAAUAAGGUGAAGAAAACACCCACUCGAGAAGUACCCGAGCACAAAGAAGCGAGAAAAUGGCCUGGGAAAAUUCCACCGUGACUGGGGGGAUUAAAACUCGAGGCAGAAAGAUCAGCUCCCACCACGAUCGAGCCACAGUCUUGCCGCGACCGAGGUGCACUGUACACGCGUUUGGAAGUUUAGGGACCAAAGUGUAAAUUUGGGAAAACUUGUUCCAAACCCUUAUAAGCUUUAGAAGCUCGCCCAAGAUUAUUUUUUAAGCUUAGUUUUAGACUACUUUGGAGGAAGAACAAAUGUGAGAAAAUCAACCAAAUAUUAGAGUUUUUCUCUCUUUUAUUUUCUUGUAAUUACCAAUUAUGAAUAAUUUAGUAGUUUUCUCUUGUUUUGUCAUGAGUAGCUAAUUCCUUAGUCUAGGGUUUUGAUGGAGUCUAUUGAAGAUGAACUUCUUGAUUAUAUUAAUAUAGUUUGCCAGUUUAAUCUCUACUUGUUCAACUCAGUGUUUUUGAUAGCGCGCGGCGACAAAUAGCGACGAGGGCUCGCUUCAGUGAGGCGAGAGAAUUUUUCUUUUUAACAAAAGCUUUUAUUUCCUCCCUAACCUCGGGCGGACAAAAGGGACAUUGUAUUACAUUUUUAUAUCCACCGAUCAAAUGUUGCUUGUGACGAGUUAUUCCACCAUUAUAUGUUUUUUCACAGAACAAACAUUUAAUUGCAGUUCUUGACUGGCCUUGUAUAGCAUAAUUCCAAGCUAUAUCACUUCGUUUACUAUUAUCGGAUGACGCCAUUUCAAUUUCAGCACUGUUUUAAAGAAAAAAAGAGCAAUAAAUCAAAUAAAUUUAAGCAACUUAGCAAAAUUGCAGAUUAAUUUUCCUUUUUUGAUCUGUGCAGGUUACAGAGCGGUCGAGUGGUGCUGACUGCUCUGUUUUUUUUUCACAGUCGACAGGUCUGAAAAAAAAAACAGAGCAGCGCGAGUGGGAGUGUGCGACUGAAAACAGAACAGUCGACUCGACAGUCAACACUCAACAGAACAGUCGAAAAGAACAGAACAGUAGACAAGUCUGAAAAAAAAAACAGAGGGACUGGAUCACUGGAAAAAAUAAAAUAGAGCAGUGCUCUGUUUUUUUUUCACUGGUCGAGAGCAGUGCAGUGCACUGUCGAGUGGUCGUCUGGUCGACUGUCGACAAUGAAAAAAAAAACAGACCUAGUCUGUCGACUGGAAGAAGAAGGAAAAAAAAGAAAGAAGAAAGAGAGAAGAAGGAAGAAGGAAGAAAGAAGAAAGAAGAAAGAAGAAAAAAGAAAGAAGAAAGGAUGAAGAACAUACCUGGCUCUGGCUGGUCGAGACUCGAGAGAAGAAAGAAGAUGAAGAUGGUCGACUGGCUUUUGUUUUGUUUUUGUCGAGUGGAAUAGAUAGAAAACCCUAAUUUUCUGUUUUUGUAAAGCUGCUAUGCUGAUGUGUUUAAUUUCUGUGUAAUUUCAAAAUAGCGUCGCCCGAGUGGAAUAGAUAAUUUUCUGUUUUUGUCGAGUGAAACCCUAAUUUUCUGUUUUUGUAAAGCUGCUGCUGAUGUGUUUAAUUUUUUCAAAAUAGCGUCGCUACGCCUCGCCUCGCGCCUCGCUGCGCCUCACGCCACACUGCCUGUUGCCCUCGCCAUUCACUAUCGCAUCGCCACAGCAGCCUGUGUGGCAUCAUCCCCUCGCUACGCCUCGCUACACGCUAAAAGCGCUGUAGCGAGCACUUUUAACAACACUGGUUCAACUACGUGCUUGUUGUAGUUAAUUGACAGGAUCCUCAAUUAGUUGUGCCUAUUUAGUGUGCAUAACUCGGGAGAGAAUGCAUAUUUAGGUAAUUGUUGAACAACACCACUCCCAAAGUAUAAGAGGUAUCUAUAACUGCGGGUUUAAAGGUGGGAUUAAGUAUAACAAAGCCUUGGGUGCAAUAUAAAGUGAGUAGUAAUAAACAAAGUCAGCUAGUGUAUCUCGAAAAAGUACGUCUAGUAAAUUAUCAUAAUUACUCGGGAGAGAUUCACGGUAAGAAGAGUGCUCAUGAUUGAUAGAGAUGAUUUGGUGAUUCUAUAUGAAGCAUAACCAGAAGGGAUUUCAUCAAUAGAGGAAAUCAUAGGCUUAGAACCUUCUCUUAAUUGUUUACACUUUAAUCAUAGUUAGUUUUCAGUUGUUUAUUUACUGUCAUUGAUGGUAGUCAGUAGAAAUACCAUGAAGUGUUAUUGACAACGUUUGGGAAUUUGAUUUCGUAGAAUUUAGUAAGUCCAACAAAAAUAAUUGAUAGGUUAAUUCCUUGUGGGUUCGACUCUGGGCUAAGUACUCAUAUUAUACUUGCAACGUCCGCAUGUCCUUUUUAUAAGGCAUAGUUGGACGUGAUCAACACACUACCCUCCCAAGACCCCAAAUGUGGUAUUUUACUAGUUUUUUUAAAAAAAAUAAUGGAUUUAUAUUUGUUGCAAUUUUAGUGGGACCUUUACACAUAAAUCUAUGCUAUGUGUCGAAAAUAUGGUGCUGAGAUGCUGCAUCCUCCUCUCACAAACACCAUUUGCAUUGAGACACGGGAGAUCAACUAGCAAACUCAAGGAAAAUUACAAAAUAAAACAAAAUCAACCUCAAUCUGAAAUUACUUAGGGCCGAUUAUAGGAAUUCUUUUUAUUCAUCCCACUCUAUUCAGGUCAUUUCAUUCCAAUAAGAAUAAUUUAACUUAAAAUUAUAGACUAUAAAUCUCGACACUGAGAAAUACCGGACAUCACAAUUAAAAAAGCAUAUCAGAGAUUAGAUAACAAUUUUGUAUAACAGAAGAAGAGAUACCGGCACUGCAAGAGGUAGGAGGAUCUUUCUGGAGAUCCUUAAGCUCCUUCAAUAUCCGUUUCGAAGCCAUCAGAGAGGGAGAAGAAAAAAAAACCCUAGCAAAUUGAAGAGAUCUAACAAAACAACAACUGUAAGCAAGAGGCAGACGAGAUGAAAUUUUA